AAAGAAGGGGGUGAGGGGGUGGGUGGGUGCGAGAGAGGAGGGUGGAGGGGAGUUUCACAAGCGAACCCCAAGUCCAGGAACCCCCCCCACCCUUCAGCCUCCAGACACCUGUUACUCCCCGGGGUCCCGGAGUCUCCUCCGAGAGGAGUCAGAAAACUUCUAACUUGCCAUGAUCGCCACCAUUAGGCCAUAUAAGAUAUGCAAAUUAGCGGGGAGGGCCCGGCUUUCGGCAAGAUGCAAAUGGUCGUGGGGAGGGGGGGAAAAGCGAGAGAGGGAGAGCAUGAGGGGCAGACGUGGAGAGCUGGAGACCCUGGCCGGGAGCAGGGCUUGCCAGGGUCCAUUGUACUCACGCUGGGGGGCUGAAGACCUUCUUGUACUGGUUCUGCUUAUCAGCCAAACUUUAGCUGACCUUUGGACUUGCUCCAGGACACAGCGGUUCCCCGGGCCAAGAGCGGCGCUCCUCGGACAGACGCGAGGCCACCGCGGCAGUGGCGGGAGGGAGCCGACGCCCACGAAGCCGCUGAGGGAGUGGAGAUUUUUACCACCUUGGCCUGGGUCAGGAAGGAAGCUCGAACCUUUCAGUUCUACGGGAGUUUCACCUGCAUCUCCCUGGGUCACGAGAGGGAAGGAAGGAGGCCUGAGGCGCCCCUGGACCUACAGGCUGGCCCAGACCUGCAGAAGAACAGGGCAAGGAGCUUUUUAGGAUCCACCGUUCGUGGACCCAUAGCUCCUGGGGCAGAGGACCCCCGACUCUCUCUAAGCCUCAGUUUCCUCAUCGGUGAAAUGCUGACGCCAACAGUGCAGGGGGAGGGGCGUUGUCUCCAUUGAAUGAGACCACCUGUGAAACCUUGGCUUAAUAAUUGGUGUUCACACUUUCCAGUCUGGGAAGGGGAGGAAGCCAGUUCCCAGUAGAAAAAUCUAAUCCCUGCAGGCCAUAGCUUCUCAGAAUCAGGCAGAUCCCGAGCUGGGCUUGGAGGGACUGGGAGAUUAGGGACAAAAAUUCAGAAUCAGCAGGGAAUUUGCAAAGGAGCUUCUAACCAAAUUCUCCUACCAUUCCCACCUUUAAAAGACAAUUAGGAGGAAGUUGGGGCUAGUUCUGGGAAAAGAGGAAUUUCAGCAAGGGGGAGGAAGGGUCAGCAGCCCUCAUCUGCUUGGUUCUGGAUCAAAUCUAGGUGUGUGAGAGCAGAAGCUCCAGGUGGGACUGAUCCAAGUUUGGCUGCUAAGGAGUGCCCCUUUUAAAGGCCGGGUCUGCUGUGAUCCUGCCUGGGACAUGUGCUGGGAACCAGAAGGAAGGGGGCGAUUAUGCCCAUGGAGCCUUGAGGGAGGUUUACACUACCUCAGGCUCUUUCCUUAAGAAAGGGGAAAGAAGUUCAUGGAAAGGAGGGCCCUUCAUUUCACCCUAUUGUCUUUUAGUUUGUUGUGACAUAUGGCAGGUCCUUGCCCCUCACAAUUCAGCCCAUGGGAGAACAUUCUCUGCCUACCAAGCUCCCCUCAACCAGGAUAAUGAAGUGUUCAGAGUAAAUGUCCCUGGAGAACAA